rfam:OM182 bacterium BACL3 MAG-120619-bin32 contig06499_1_120619-bin32, whole genome shotgun sequence.
CGCGGGAUAGAGCAGUAGGUAGCUCGUCGGGCUCAUAACCCGAAGGUCACUGGUU